rnacentral:rRNA from 1 species
UGCCAGCAGCCGCGGUAAUACAGAGGGUGCAAGCGUUAAUCGGAAUUAUUGGGCGUAAAGGGUGCGUAGGUGGUUAAGUAAGUCGGAUGUGAAAGCCCUGGGCUCAACCUGGGAAUUGCAUUCGAUACUGCUUGGCUAGAGUAGUGGAGAGGGAAGUGGAAUUUCCGGUGUAGCGGUGAAAUGCGUAGAUAUCGGAAGGAACGCCAGUGGCGAAGGCGGCUUCCUGGCCCAAUACUGACACUCAGGUGCGAAAGCGUGGGGAGCAAACAGGAUUAGAUA